rnacentral:ncRNA from 2 species
CGUGAGCUGGGUUUAGACCGUC